AUGAAUUGCCUAAGUUGGAACUGUCGGGGCGCGGCCAACAAACCGACAGUUCAGGAGUUGGUGGGACUUGCGAGGACUGCCAGUGCACAUUUGGUCUUUUUGUGUGAAACUAGAGUUAAAGCUGAAAAAGUACGUCGUUUAAGAGGUAGACUGGGUCUGAGAGGUUUUGCAUGAUGUGAUAGUAAUGGUUUGAGUGGGGGACUAGCCCUCUUUUGGAGUGAUCAAAUAUUUGUUGAUGUUCAAGAAGUAAAUGAAAGAUAUAUAGAUGCGUACGUCCGUGUGUCUGAUAAUGAUCCACUUUGGCAUUUGACCCGUGUGUAUGGUGAGCCAAGGGUGGAAAACCGUCACUUGAUGUGGGAAAAAUUGCAAAACUUAAAAACAAAGUCUCCAUUACCGUGGUGUGUGAUUGGCGACUUCAAUGAAGCCAUGUGGUCUUUCGAACACCUUUCAGUUUCACAACGUGGAGAAAGACAGAUGCUGGCCUUCAGAGAUACUUGGAGAUACGUGAGUUGUCAGAUUUGGGUUUUUCGGGUGUGCCUUUUACCUAUGACAAUAAGCAAGCUGGACGUCAAAAUGUUAAAGUCCGCCUUGACCGGGCUGUGGCAGACAACCGGUGGCGGGACAUCUUCUCGGAGGCAUAAGUUGUACACAGUGUCAGUCCUUGCUCGGACCACUGUCCAGUGGUGUUAA
rnacentral:rRNA from 1 species